GUCUUAUUUGAUUAUAAUUUUAGGUUUAUUCUGCCCAUUGAUUUUAAUUAAAAGGCUGCAGUAUAUUGACUGUACAAAGGUAGCAAAAUAAAUAGUUUUUUAAUUGGAAACUGGAAUGAAAGAGUGAAUGAAAUAUAAAUUGUCUCAAGAUAAAAAGUUGAAUUUAAAUUAAAAGUAAAAAUGCUUUUUUGGAGUUAUUAGACGAGAAGACCCUAUAGAAUUUUAUAAAAAUUAUUUUAAAAAUUUUAUUAUAUUAAUUUUUUUAUAGAGUAAUUGUAUUUUAUUGGGAGGAUAUUUAAAUUUAUUUAACUUUAAUAAAAAAUAACAUUGAUUUAUGAAUAUUUAUUAUUGAUUAUUAUUAUAAUUAUUAGAAUAAAUUACCUUAGGGAUAACAGCGUUAUAGUUUUGGAGAGUUCAUAUUGAUAAAAUUGUUUGCGACCUCGAUGUUGAAUUAUGAUAAAAAUUAAAUGUAGAAAUUUAAAAUUUUAGUCUGUUCGACUAUUAAAAUCAUACA
rnacentral:rRNA from 1 species